GUUCUGUAUAUCAAGGUAUGUAAUGUACAUUUAUACUGAAUUUAUUCGAUUUUUUUCACACGUUGCUUUCACAUUUCCUCAGAGUCUCGGAAAUCACAUUUUCUAACACAGUUUCACACAUACAGAAAGACUUCAUUUCACACAUGCAGAAAGACUUCUUCAGAAAUCACAGUUUUUAACAUAUAAAAAAACUUCAUAUUAUCUCAUCAGUUAAUCAAAUUAUGAUAACAGUACGUAGUAAUGCUUAGAAAGAUUUUAUUCUGUUUUCCAUAUACAGUGUACAACUGUUAUUUCAAUUUUCUCUUUCCUAUAUUUUCUUUAAAGCAGGUACUGUUCUGUUACAAAACAACUAAUAAACAUUUUGUUAUUUUAACAGGUGAACCAUAUUUUACAUGAACUUGGGGAAAAAAACAACUUGAAUUCCAUGGAAAUAUAUAUAAUCAUGUCAUCAAUCAGAUAGUAAACAAUCAUUAAGAUGGCCUCAAGAUUAUAUUUCACAGUGACCAAACAUGAAAAUUUUUAAAUGGGAAUUAGUUGAUGGCAUUAUAGUUUUCUAAUGCUAUAUAAUUUUGUUCAUCAAGGUGAAGAAACCUUAACUCACUAUACCUUUUCCUGUUACAGAGCUAUGGUAGUAAUCUUAGAAGAUUUUCAUGAUCCCUCUAUUCAGUAGUUCUUUAACCAGUCUGGUAUUAUGACUGUAUUAUGUUAAAUAGCCUUGUGUGACUUUUGUAUUUUGUUUCUUUAAUAAUAUUUGCAAUGAUCAAAAUUACAGUUUAAUCUUUGUAUUUCUAAUGAUAAUUACUUGCACAUAUCCAUCACACUUCUCUGUUACUAUUAAACUUAUUACUAUCAUGCAAGUAAAAUCUCUUUGGAAAAAUAAAAUGUUGUCCCAGGAUAG